rnacentral:rRNA from 1 species
GUGCCAGCAGCCGCGGUAAUACGGAGGGUGCAAGCGUUAUCCGGAUUUACUGGGUUUAAAGGGUGCGUAGGUGGGCAGUUAAGUCAGUGGUGAAAUCUCCGAGCUUAACUCGGAAACUGCCAUUGAUACUAUCUGUCUUGAAUUAUCUGGAGGUGAGCGGAAUAUGUCAUGUAGCGGUGAAAUGCUUAGAUAUGACAUAGAACACCAAUUGCGAAGGCAGCUCACUACGGGUAUAUUGACACUGAGGCACGAAAGCGUGGGGAUCAAACAGGAUUAGAAACCCUUGUAGUCC